rnacentral:rRNA from 1 species
GACGAACGCUGGCGGCGUGCUUAACACAUGCAAGUCGAACGGAAAGGCCCUGCUUUUGUGGGGUGCUCGAGUGGCGAACGGGUGAGUAACACGUGAGUAACCUGCCCUUGACUUUGGGAUAACUUCAGGAAACUGGGGCUAAUACCGGAUAGGAGCUCCUGCUGCAUGGUGGGGGUUGGAAAGUUUCGGCGGUUGGGGAUGGACUCGCGGCUUAUCAGCUUGUUGGUGGGGUAGUGGCUUACCAAGGCUUUGACGGGUAGCCGGCAUGAGAGGGUGACCGGCGACAUUGCGACUGAGAGACGGCCCAGACUGCUACGGGAGGCAGUAGUGGGGAAUAUUGCACAAUGGGCGGAAGCCUGAUGCAGCAACGCCGCGUGCGGGAAGACGGCCUUCGGGUUGUAAACCGCUUUCGCCUGUGACGAAGCGUGAGUGACGGUAAUGGGUAAAGAAGCACCGGCUAACUACGUG